GUGCUUCCUUCAGCAGCACAUAUACUAAAAUUGGAACAAUGCAGAGAAGAUUAGCAUGGCCCCUGCACAAGGAUGACACACAAAUUUGUGAGACAUUUAUAUAUCUA
rnacentral:snRNA from 1 species